rnacentral:rRNA from 1 species
UACGGGGGGAGCAAGCGUUGUUCGGAUUUACUGGGCGUAAAGGGCGCGUAGGCGGUCGUGACAAGUCACUUGUGAAAUCUCCGGGCUUAACUCGGAACGGUCAAGUGAUACUGUCGGACUAGAGUACAGAAGGGGCAACUGGAAUUCUCGGUGUAGCGGUGAAAUGCGUAGAUAUCGAGAGGAACACCUGCGGCGAAGGCGGUUGCUGGGCUGAUACUGACGCUGAGGCGCGAAAGCCAGGGAGCGAACGGG